CAGUGAGAACCCCCGAGAACUCUCGAGAAGAGCCGACCAUGAAGAUCCCAGAGUGGGACAGUUCUCUUUGCCGAGUGUCGCCGCUGACGUUCAGCGGUCCUUGCUCGGCGCGGAAGUUGCGGCGCUCGCGGGUAGGAACGUGCCGCAGCUCUCAAAAGUGUGGGCCAGAGCAAACGUUGAGGACCUUUGCACCGUGCAGUGGGCCUCCAAGGUUAAAUGUGAUACAGCCAUGGUGAAUAAUGAACAAGAAAAUCAUUCCGUCAGGUAGAAUUGUUACAGCCAGGUUGCAGACCAAGAAAAUCACCCCAAUUCCAGGGGAAGUCUUCAUAAGCCCUGCCCAACAGGAAAUGACCUUGCUCUACUUCAGUCCAUGAAGCCACUUGCGGUACAAUUUGCCAUCUAGGAACAUCAAGGGGCGCAGAUCAAUUAAUACAGGUAAUGAUCACUUUGAUUUUCCUCCAGGCCAAAUGGAUCAAGAUCAGACAGAUAAGAAUUCUCACUGGAAACCACCAGUUUUAGGUGAAGUAGUGACUUGUGGGAUGACCGAAUUUGGUCCUCAUGGAUUUAACAGAAGAUACCCUCACCUAGAAGAAAGACCAGGAGAAAAGGCAGUGGCCCAAAAGAGAAACAGGCUCAAAUGUGAUGAAGAAUAAGUUGAUAGGACCCCCAGGAGAAGGGGUCACAGAGCACUACAAAAGCCAAGCUCCCCAAAGAGGUCAGCGCAGCCUCAGCGGCCCAAAGGUCAACACAUCAAGAUAAAUCAGGUGGAAAUUCUGGGCCAUCUGGAGGUGGAGGGACCCGGACGGAGGGAGGAAGCUAAAACAGAGACUCAGCUCUCCCGGGCACGUGGUCACAGUGACAUUUCUGGGACACAGUCAGGCCCUCCCCUUCCUUACACUGCUGGACACCAUCUCUCUGCUCCCAUAAAUGCCUUGGGUCUCACUCAGUCUCUUGGGCUAGACUGCAGUGGUGUCAU